AGGAUAGUUUUGUCAGAUUGGCUACACGUCAACUAAGAUUGUUAGGAUUGUGGUUACACAGCUAAAAGGAUAAGAAAAGUUAGUUUCUGGUGACUUAGCUAUGAAACUAAGGUUGUAGCAUAAAUAAUAGUCUCUCUAUAAUUCUCAUUCAAUCAAUACAUUCAUAGCAGUUCAUUCUUCGUUCUCUCUCUCUCUUCUUUCUUUCUUUCUUUCACUACAUUCUUCUAAGAAGGUUUUCUUUGCUUUCUUCUUCCUUUCGAGAUACUUAGCUUAGUGUUAAUAUGGUAUCAUCGGCGGUGGUCGUUCCCUGGUGGUUCUGUGUUUUCCGAUUGAUUACAAGUUUUUUGCUGUUCGUGGAGAAGUUUUGGGGUUUGAAUUCUGCAAUUUCAACAACGAAAGGUCUUCUGGGAAUGCCAACUGUGGAGCAAAAAAUAAUCCCAAAAAUUCUAGAGGCGGCAUAUGAACUUUUAAUCAAGAAGGACAAGAUUGCCCUCACUUCUCAGAUUCUCCCACACGCAGCUCACAUUCCUGAAGGACUUAAAGAUUGACUCCAAUAAAGUGCAUUUUUGUCCAAACUGAAGACAAUGAAAAUUCAUUGACAAAUUGGUGCUUUCAUUGAGAGAUAAUUCAAGAUACUCGAAGAAGCCUCUCGCAUUAGUUUCUUGAAUUUUCCGUUACGUUGAAUUUCUCACACGUUGUAUGAAUUAAUUUUUCCUAGAAAAGUUUCUUGAUCAAUCCCUGGAGAAGGGAUACAAUGGUAGGAAAUUCAGAAACUACGACGAACGGAACCCCAUACGUGGAAGGAUUUGGACCGGAGAAUGGAGACGAGGGCAUAGCCCCACCACGGAGAUCCUCAAGGCUCAACACGAUGGCAGGAGGAGCCCUAUUGCCGCGGAGCUGCACCACCACUAUCACCAUUGUGACCUAGCAUCCACUAGACAUGACAUUCGUGUCGAGUUUCUCGUGUUCGUGUUAUUUUCGUGUCAUACUCGAUAGCUUAACGGGUUGUGUCGUGUAAUACCUGUUAAAGUAAACGGGUAAUAUGAUCUGACCCGUUAAGAAAAAUAUAUUUUAAAUCAAUAAAAAUGAAAAUGAAAAACAUAAUUUGACCCAAAAAAAUGUAAAACAUAAUACUAAAUUAGUAUAUACAUACUACAUUUCGGAGUUGACCCUUUUAUGAAAGUUGUAAAGCUUUUCAUUAUGA